AGUGGCGGACGGGUGAGUAACGCGUGGACAACCUGCCGUGUACAGGGGGAUAACAGCCGGAAACGGCUGCUAAUACCGCAUAUGCGCACAGUGCCGCAUGGCACAGGGCGGAAAACGACAGUGGUACACGAUGGGUCCGCGUCUGAUUAGAUAGUUGGCGGGGUAACGGCCCACCAAGUCGACGAUCAGUAGCCGGCCUGAGAGGGCGGACGGCCACACUGGGACUGAGACACGGCCCAGACUCCUGCGGGAGGCAGCAGUGGGGAAUAUUGCACAAUGGGGGGAACCCUGAUGCAGCGACGCCGCGUGAAGGAAGAAGUAUUUCGGUAUGUAAACUUCUAUCAGCAGGGAAGAAAAAGGACGGUACCUGACUAAGAAGCCCCGGCUAACUACGUGCCAGCAGCCGCGGUAAUACGUAGGGGGCGAGCGUUAUCCGGAUUUACUGGGUGUAAAGGGGGCGCAGACGGCCAUGGCAAGCCCGGUGUGAAAGGUGCGGGCACAACCCGCAAACUGCACUGGUAACUGCCUGGCUGGAGUGCCGGAGGGGUAAGCGGAAUUCCUAGUGUAGCGGUGAAAUGCGUAGAUAUUAGGAGGAACACCAGUGGCGAAGGCGGCUUACUGGACAGUAACUGACGUUGAGGCUCGAAAGCGUGGGGAGCAAACAGGAUUAAAUACCCUGGUA
rnacentral:rRNA from 1 species